rnacentral:rRNA from 1 species
UGGGGAAUUUUGCACAAUGGGGGGAACCUUGAUGCAGCGACGCCGCGUGAGGGAUGGAGGCCUUCGGGUUGUGAACCUCUUUCGCUCGUGUGCAAGCCGCUAUUUGGGUAGUGGUGAGUGUAGCGGGUAAAGAAGCGCCGGCUAACUACGUGCCAGCAGCCGCGGUAAUACGUAGGGCGCGAGCGUUGUCCGGAUUUAUUGGGCGUAAAGGGCUUGUAGGCGGUUUGUCGCGCCUGUCGUGUAAUCCUCUGGCUUAACUGGGGGUGUGCGGUGGGUACGGGCAAGCUUGAGUGCGGUAGGGGAGAUUGGAAUUCCUGGUGUAGCGGUGGAAUGCGCAGAUAUCGGGAGGAAAACCGGUGGCGAAGGCGGGUCUCUGGGCCGUUACUGACGCUGAGGAGCGAAAGCGUGGGGAGCGAACAGG